rnacentral:rRNA from 1 species
ACUCCUACGGGAGGCAGCAGUGGGGAAUAUUGGACAAUGGGCGAAAGCCUGAUCCAGCCAUGCCGCGUGUGUGAAGAAGGUCUUCGGAUUGUAAAGCACUUUAAGUUGGGAGGAAGGGCAGUAAGUUAAUACCUUGCUGUUUUGACGUUACCAACAGAAUAAGCACCGGCUAACUUCGUGCCAGCAGCCGCGGUAAUACGAAGGGGUGCAAGCGUUAGUCGGAAUUACUGGGCGUAAAGCGCGCGUAGGUGGUUCAGCAAGUUGGAUGUGAAAUCCCCGGGGCUCAACCUGGGAACUGCAUCCAAAACUACUGAGCUAGAGUACGGUAGAGGGUGGUGGAAUUUCCUGUGUAGCGGUGAAAUGCGUAGAUAUAGGAAGGAACACCAGUGGCGAAGGCGACCACCUGGACUGAUACUGACACUGAGGUGCGAAAGCGUGGGGAGCAAACAGGAUUAGAUA